GGUAGCGUGGCCGAGUGGUCUAAGGCGCUGGUUUAAAGGCACCAGUCUCUUCGGAGGCGUGGGUUCGAAUCCCACCGCUGCCA